CUGGGAUGCAAAUUGUUCAACUGGAGCAGACCCCGCAGGGUCCUCAGUGUGCGGAAUAUUGAGACGUUCAGUCUCCAUCCAUUGACGUCCCUCCAGAGUCGAGAAACCCAGUCCGCCCAUAGGAUGUCAAAUUCUGGUAAGGAUACUGCUCAUAGAGUGGUGUUGCGAGGCAGGCAGAAUCGGUAUAUGUCCAUUGUCACCUCUGUGAGAUCCCGGAUCAUGCUCUGUCCAUGCUCCCACCACAUGAGCCAGGAUUCGGAAAGGGAUAGAGUCCUUGUGCAGAGUAUCAUUAUUAUGUGGUUUAUUUUAUAUCACACAUCUUGAGAUUGCGAUUAUCUGUUAUGAUUACUUAUUACA